GGGGUUGUGGCUCAGUGGUAGAGUGCUCGUCAUGCACGUGUGAGGCCCUGGGUUCAAUUCUCAGCACCACA
rnacentral:tRNA from 1 species